ncrna:unclassified sequences nhaA-I RNA
GGGUUCGAGGACACUGAAGUCCUCGGAGGUCAACCGGAUGGUCGGGCCGCCAUCC